AAAGGCUUAGUUAAAUCAUAACGCUAAUUUGUCAAGUUAUCAUUGCCUAAAAAGGUAGCCUUUA
rnacentral:tRNA from 2 species